GGGAGCCGUUGAGUGAGAGGAUACACAACAGAAGCCGACUCGAUGCUCUCCAUCUUCUCCUCCUUCCUGCAUGUUCCCUCUUCUUCCUUGUAGAGUUUGUCUGCAUAGGCAUCGGCCGAAAUCGGCAGGAUUUCUUUGUAAUCGAGAUCCCCGUUCGUCCGUGAAGGCUUGCGUCAAUGGAGCUGGUGCGAAGAACAGUGAAAAGCAUGAGCUUUUCAGGAGUGAUUCACGAAGGACGUCCUGUCUGUCACCGGUUGCCAGAGAUUCUCGACUUUGAUCGCUGUCGGGGGCCCCCUUCAGAUCGCUGUUAUCCACUAGGAUUGGGGUUUAAGAACCACAGGAAGUUGUUGUUUUGGAGAGGCAUCGGCAGUGUGAUCAUUGAUAGGUGCACUAUUAGACCAUUGUUAUUCUGGACCAACCGCAUGCGUCAUGGCUCCUAAAGGCGAAAAUAUCAUCGACUGGAGUGAUGAAAUGGAGUAUACUUUCAUAAACAUAAUGCUUGAGAAGCUG